CCCUUAGAUGUCCGGGGCCGCACGCGCGCUACACUGAAGGAAUCAGCGUGGCUUUCUCCCUGACCCGAAAGGGUUGGGAAACCCGUUGAAUCUCCUUCGUGAUAGGGAUUGGGGCUUGAAAUUGUUCCCCAUGAACGAGGAAUUCCCAGUAAGCGCGAGUCAAAAGCUCGCGUUGAUUACGUCCCUGCCCUUUGUACACACCGCCCGUCGCUACUACCGAUUGAACGGUUUAGUGAGGGCCUCGGAUUGGUCUCGGCCCGCUCUUUACCGGGCGGCGCCGUUGGUCGAGAAGACGCUCGAACUUGAUCGUUUAGAGGAAGUAAAAGUCGUAACA
rnacentral:rRNA from 1 species